GAUCAUUUUGGAAGAUACAUACGCCUGCGCUUUUCAAAGCGGACAGACGUGCCCGUGUCCAACUUGACAAAGGCGGAAUUAUUUUAGGAAAGGUAUAUUAUUUGUAAAAAAAAAUAUACAAUUUUUAAGUAACAUAUUUGACAGACCAUGGCAACUAGUAAAGCAGAAUCCGAGAAUUCAAUCGGCGGCUGUAUGUUGACUGACAAGAAUAUAAUUGCUGUUAAUCCGGCCCUGCUUCUUGUACAAAUGCAUAGUGGGGAGACAUGAACAUUUUUCGAAAUUGCGGCCCUAUCCUCUUGGGAUUCUACGUUGGACAAAUUCUGAAAACGACCCAGAAAUAUAAUUGGAGGUUCAAACCCGUGCGAGGUGAGGUUUGAUAUAUGAAACAGACCAGUCAUGGGGACACGAGAUAUGCAAAGUUUCAGCGUAGUCGUCGCCACAUUGCUGCCAACACUGCAUAUAUAAGGAAUCACGAACCAUUCAGGAAUAUUGAGACUUAGACCAGUAUCUUUUUAAGUAGGCAUGUGGGGUAAAGAAGACGCAGAAGCUUCAGUCGGGUACCAUCGGUAACGUAGGCGAUUGAUAUAUUUCCACCACUACAUAUGUUGGAUUGGAAUUUCCCAUUUGAUGCUUUGACUGACUAAAUGAGGAAACUUGGAGAUAUUAUUGGUGGUGCCUGCCAGCUUCCAGUUCCGAGAAAAGAAAUCCAAUACUUUUCGUCUUUAUUUCCCCUGUCCUUU